rnacentral:snRNA from 1 species
UUGUAAGUACCCCCCUAAGGUCGUGAGUUCGAGUUCCACUAACACCCGUCUAGAG